UAAUAAGUGUUUAUGGCACUUUAAAAUCCAUACCCACCUUGUGUGCAAUGUUUUUAACCUCCUUUUUUGAAAGAAAAAGGAUGGUUCACUAUCCACAUCAGUCUUUUUUUCCCUAGUCUACAUUCGAGUAAAUAAAAAAACUCUAAUA
rnacentral:misc_RNA from 1 species